GAAAAAAAGAGAAGCUCGCGUUUGGCAAUGCUCAUUGUCGUGCACAACAUAAGAGAAAAAGGAAGGAGAGAAAAACAACAAAAGAGAGAAAGAGGAAAGAUGAAGUGAGAGAAAGGAAAGAUGGAGAGGAAGAAAAGAAAGAAGGGGAGAGGGAAAGGAAGGAAGAAGAAAGAGAAUACGAAAGAAGGAGAAAGAAAAAAAGGAAAAAAGAAGAAAGAGAAAUGAAAGGAGGAGGAGAGAGAAGGUCGUGCUCGGCAGUGUGCACUACUGUGCGAGACAGAAAGAAACAGAGAAGAAUGUGAGAGAAAAAAGAGAGAGAAAGAAGUAAGAAGAUAGAAGAAGACGAGAAAAAAAGAGGCAACAGAAAGAGGAAAGAGGAAGAUCGUGCCCGACAGUGCACACUGCCGUGCGAGAAAGAGAAGAGAAAGAAGAAAGAGAGAGAAAGAAGAGAGAGAAAUAAUAAGAUCGUGCUCGAU
rnacentral:lncRNA from 1 species